rnacentral:rRNA from 1 species
UACGGAGGGUGCGAGCGUUGUUCGGAAUUACUGGGCGUAAAGCGCGUGUAGGCGGCCUUUUAAGUUUGAUGUGAAAGCCCGGGGCUCACCCCCGGAAGUGCAUCGGAUACUGGAGGGCUCGAGUACCGGAGAGGAGGGUGGAAUUCCUGGUGUAGCGGUGAAAUGCGUAGAUAUCAGGAGGAACACCGGUGGCGAAGGCGGCCCUCUGGACGGAUACUGACGCUGAGACGCGAAAGCGUGGGGAGCAAACAGG